rnacentral:lncRNA from 12 species
GGUGCAGAUUACAAUCAGUAAGUGAUCUGCCCAGCUGUUUGAAUCAUUACGGAGUAAUCACAGCACUGGGAAUAUAAUAGUUUAUGUUGAUGGCUAAAUCAUGUAUUUUAUUACAAGUUUUUUUUUUUAAGGGGGAGAUUACAUAGAAGGCUGUCGAAUGUCCUCAUCUGUGAGCUUUUUAACCAGUCAUAAGUAGCACUGGUAUACAGUAUUUGUAGCAAUAGCCAACGAUACAUUGUAUGAGUCAAAAUUAUCAAUUUUUCUUUUAUGCCAAAGGUUAUUAGGAUAUUAAGUAAAGAUCAUGUUCCAUGAAGAUAUUUUGUUAAUUUUUUACCGCAAAUAUAUUAAAACUUAAUUUUUGAUUAGUAAAAUGCAUUGCUAAGAAGUUCAUUUGAACAACUUUAAAGGUGCUUUUCUUAAUAUUUUGAUUUUUCUUUUUGCAUUUUCAAAUAGUUGUAUCUCAGCCAAAUAUUGUCCGAUCCUAACAAACCAUACAUCAAUGGAAAGAUUAUUUAUUUAGCUUUCAGAUAAUUAAUAACUGUUUUUGUGGUCCAGGUUCACAUUUAGCCAGCGGAGGUGUGUGCGAGCGCUGAAUGUGUGUGUGUGUGUGUGUGUGUGUGUGUGUGUGUGUGUGUGUGUGUGUGAUCGCUGGGUGGAGCAUCAGUGUACGGCAGGUCUCGUCUCUCAUUGCGGCGGCUGGAGAUCCAUCGAGCGGCGGCGGAAUGUCGCUCCGCUGUCCGUGUGCGUGAAGAGCAGGUGGAGGAAGAGGAAGAGGAGGAGGAGGAUGAUGGAGGAAUCCGACAGCAUCCCCUGCACCGCGGAGGACGGACUCCUGUCGAGCUGGAGAUGGAACAGAACCGCCAGGGAUCAGGUCCAAAUCAAGCAGAAGAUCCGAGAUCUGCCCGGGUUAUUGAAGCACGGACUGAACCUGCGCAAAAAGAGCCAGUCACCUGACACCAUCCCAGGACCCAGCACGGGCGUCACACCCAAACCCAAGACGUGUUCUCAGAGUUUUCCCUGCGCGGGACGUGCGCUGAGAAACGCCUUUCUGUCUCAUGGACCGUAUCCAGCAAAAGACAAGAUCCACCUCGCCAGGAUCAUCAGGUCAGAGAUUUACUUUUGUGCAUUUGCUAGACACUUUAUUCAAGCUUAAAGAAAUGAAUGCUUUUAUUUAGCAAGGAUGCAUUAAAUUGAUCAAAAGUGACAGUAAAGACAUUUAUAAUGUGACAAAAGAUUUCUAUUUCUAAUAAAUGCUGUUCUUUUGAACUUUCCAUUCAUCUGUGAAUCCUGAAAAAUAAAAUGUAUCACAGUUUGCACAAAAAUAUUGUGCAGCACAACUGUUUUCAACAUUGAUAAUAAUCAGAAAUGUUUCUUGAGCAGCAAAUCAGCAUAUUAGAAUGAUUUCUGAAGAUCAUGUGACACUGAAGACUGGAGUAAUGAUAAUGAAAAUUCAGCUUUGAUCAUAGGAAUAAAUUACAUUUUAACAGAUAUUCACAAUUUAACAGCUGUUUUAAAUUGUAAAAAUAUUUCACAAUUUUAAUUUUUUAUUUUUAAUAAAAUUCAAUCAAACCAAACUGUAUUCAGACACCUUCAACAUUUCUCACAUUAUAUCACAUUUUAUUCACUAUAGUUUAUAAAACGAUAAUAAAAUAAAAUUCAUCUUGAUAAUGUCAGAUAACUUUGAUAGAAAGGUAUGUAAUGAAUUUGGAUGAAUAGCUGUUAAAUUUAAGUACAGAAUUAGAUAAAACCAAUUUAGCUCAACCAGUUACCAAGCAAUGCUUCAUUUUGUCUAGUCUGUGGUGGGAAAAGAUCACAUUAGCAAUUAAAUAAAAACACUUGAGCAAAACAUGAUCAGGUCAAAGUGUCUAUGAAUCCCAAAUUUUUACUGGUUGUUCUUUGGGUGUAAUAUAUCACAGUUUACUUUAUUAUGCUAUCCUCACUUACAAAAAUUAACUAUAGUGUCCUGCACCCACUAGUAAAAAAAAAUGAUAUCUGAUUACUGAUUUUUGUUGUACUGUGGUUAUGUGAUAUAACUCUUGUGACAUUCCUAUCACAGGAUCUGUGAAAGCGUGUGUGUAUGUGUGUGUGUGUGUGUGUGUGUGUGUGUGCGGCUGACUCAUCAGCUGUCUGUUAUCUCUGUGAUGGAUGGCCGCUGUCCAAACUUCACUCUGAUUGGAUAGAAAUGUCCCGUCAGAAGGUGGAGUGUGAACGUGUGACACAGAAACACAGAAUCAGAGAGCUUUACAUGCACUCGAUGAAAACGAGCAGCUUAAUGACUUCAAAAUGCAAAUCAGAGACAGCAUGAUAAUGUCACACGGCAGAUCAGAUUGAAGCAGAUCUUAUUCAUCAGUGCAUGUUAUUCUAAAUAAAGUGUGUUUAGUAUAUUCUUCUUUUUAUUGAAAUUUAGAAACCAUUUUUCAUGAUUUAAUCAAUUCCUGCCUUUCAUUUGGAAAUACUGUACAUCACAGAGGCAAAAUGGGAUGCAAACAGUUUUAUGUUGAUUUUAUAGCAAAUUGAAAAACGAUUGCAGCAGCAUUAUGUACUUGAAAACACAAAUAUUAAAUUAUUACAUCUAUGUAAAUUACAAUGAACAAUAUUUUUUUCUGCCUUUAGCAAAACUGCAGGCCGUUUAUGCAUGUCAAUGAACUAUAUUUUAUUGAAU